rnacentral:rRNA from 1 species
UACGUAGGGUGCAAGCGUUAAUCGGAAUUACUGGGCAUAAAGCGUGCGCAGGCGGUUUUGUAAGUCUGAUGUGAAAUCCCCGGGCUCAACCUGGGAAUUGCAUUGGAGACUGCAAGGCUAGAAUCUGGCAGAGGGGGGUAGAAUUCCACGUGUAGCAGUGAAAUGCGUAGAGAUGUGGAGGAACACCGAUGGCGAAGGCAGCCCCCUGGGUCAAGAUUGACGCUCAUGCACGAAAGCGUGGGGAGCAAACAGG